rnacentral:rRNA from 1 species
UACAGAGGUCUCAAGCUGUUGUUCGGAUUCAUUGGGCGUAAAGGGUGCGUAGGCGGCGCGGUAAGUCGGGUGUGAAAUCUCGGAGCUUAACUCCGAAACUGCAUUCGAUACUGCCGUGCUUGAGGACUGGAGAGGAGACUGGAAUUUACGGUGUAGCGGUGAAAUGCGUAGAUAUCGUAAGGAAGACCAGUGGCGAAAGGCGGGUCUCUGGACAGUUCCUGACGCUGAGGCACGAAGGUCAGGGGAGCAAACGGG